GAUGAACGCUAGCUACAGGCUUAACACAUGCAAGUCGAGGGGAAACGACAUCGAAAGCUUGCUUUUGAUGGGCGUCGACCGGCGCACGGGUGAGUAACGCGUAUCCAACCUGCCCAUCACUUGGGAAUAACCUUGCGAAAGUAAGACUAAUACCCAAUGACAUCCCACGAAGACAUCUGAAUGGGAUUAAAGAUUUAUCGGUGAUGGAUGGGGAUGCGUCUGAUUAGCUUGUUGGCGGGGUAACGGCCCACCAAGGCAACGAUCAGUAGGGGUUCUGAGAGGAAGGUCCCCCACAUUGGAGCUGAGACACGGUCCAAACUCCUACGGGGGGCAGCAGUGAGGAAUAUUGAUCAAUGGGCGAGAGCCUGAACCAGCCAAGUAGCGUGCAGGAUGACGGCCCUAUGGGUUGUAAACUGCUUUUAUAAGGGAAUAAAGUGGGUCUCGUGAGACUUUUUGCAUGUACCUUAUGAAUAAGGACCGGCUAAUUCCGUG
rnacentral:rRNA from 1 species